ACAGGUUUUUAUCAUCUCUCAGUUGGAAGUACUUGUGGUCCAAAUGAAUCUAGAUCUUUUGGCGGAGAAUGUUGUCCAAUGUGCAAUAGAGGGUCAGUGGUGUACCUUGACCGCACUGGUGAUUUCAGUACAACAUGUAUACCCUGCAGUCCAGGAACAUUCGUGAGUGAGCCCAAUGGUCUUUAUCAAUGCUUCCCGUGCAGACAAUGUGAUGAAAGUCAAAGACUUUACAUCCAGAGUAAAUGCACUACAGUAAGAGACACCAUCUGUGAUGUACUUGAUGGAUAUCACUGUGUUCACUUCUCCAAUUCAGAGUGCCUUCAUGCUGAAAAACACAAGAGUUUGCAAACCAGGAUAAGAAACAAAAACACCAGAAGAAAAAAGCAACGUUUAUCCAGGAGCCUCAGCACAGGGCACUUGACCGGUAGCAUCAUUUUGAGUAGCCGCAUUCUGAAAUCCUGGCAAGUUUGUGGAGACCACCAUGCCAUUAAUUCAUUUUAAUUUUAGAUUUCUUUUUUGACAAAUAUAAACUGUAGUUAUUUUUGAAUGGAUCUAUAUGAAAGAAAUUCUGAUAAAAGGUCUAUACCACUGAUCUAUACAUGUAUGACUGGAUUACUCCUAGAAUUCUAAACUGCCAGCAAGCGGGAAGUGUUGAAGUGGUCAUAUUGCUAUUCCACACUGGCAUCAUUGACUGACAGCUUAAUUGUUUCUUUGGCUGUUGUCUGAAAUAUUUAUGGCCUUUUCGUGCAGCAUAAUCAAUAUAGUAUAGAAACUGCUGAUGAGUGUCUACUGCACACUCCUGACACAAAAUGUCAUUAUGUAUGUAACGUUAGACUAGAGCAUAUAUAUCGGAUCAUUAGCAGAAACUGAUGAGUGUACAAUAACUAUUACAAUACAAGCAUUUUAUUAUAUCGUACUAAUAUUAAAAUAAUUCAGUUUACAAUGCAUCAUCUUGUUUGGAGCAACAGUAUAAAUGCUUGAAAAUAAAGCUUCGUUUCUUUAAGGCCAUAUGCAGUCAUUAUUUCUGUGAAUAAGUUGUGAAGAGUAUAGCUAUUUUAUUUAGUUAUGUUUUUAUCCCUCUGUUAUUGGGCACACUGAAUUAUCAUGGCUGGCCGUGAAUAUCACAUUUCUACAGUGGCAUUAUUAUUAUUACACAAACAGAUCACCCUAAAUAAAACCUCCUUAAAUUGUGUUUGCUUGCCUAAACACAUAUCCAAAUCAUUCCCCCAAUCUGGCCACUUGAAAUGCAAAAUGAGCGG